CAGCAGCCACGGUAAUACGAAGGGGGCUAGCGUUGUUCAGAAUUACUGGGCGUAAAGCGCACGUAGGCGGAUAUUUAAGUCAGGAGUGAAAUCCCGCAGCUCAACUGCGGAACUGCCUUUGAUACUGGGUAUCUUGAGUAUGGAAGAGGUUAGUGGAAUUGCGAGUGUAGAGGUGAAAUUCGUAGAUAUUCGCAGGAACACCAGUGGCGAAGGCGGCUAACUGGUCCAUAACUGACGCUGAGGUGCGAAAGCGUGGGGAGCGAACAGGAUUAGAUACCCCCGUAGUCCCUGUCUCUUAUAC
rnacentral:rRNA from 1 species